UACGUAGGGGGCAAGCGUUGUCCGGAUUUAUUGGGCGUAAAGAGCGUGUAGGCGGCUAGGUAGGUGGGUUGUGAAAACUGGAGGCUCAACCUUCAGACGUUGACCCAAACCCCCUGGCUAGAGUCCGGAAGAGGAGAGUGGAAUUCCUGGUGUAGCGGUGAAAUGCGUAGAUAUCAUGAGGAAUACCAGAGGCGAAGGCGGCUACCUGGACAAUUGCUGACGCUCAGGCACGAAAGCGUGGGGAGCAAAAGGG
rnacentral:rRNA from 1 species